UACGAAGGGGGCUAGCGUUGUUCGGAAUUACUGGGCGUAAAGCGCACGUAGGCGGCUACUCAAGUCAGAGGUGAAAGCCCGGGGCUCAACCCCGGAACUGCCUUUGAAACUAGGUAGCUAGAAUCUUGGAGAGGUCAGUGGAAUUCCGAGUGUAGAGGUGAAAUUCGUAGAUAUUCGGAAGAACACCAGUGGCGAAGGCGACUGACUGGACAAGUAUUGACGCUGAGGUGCGAAAGCGUGGGGAGCAAACAGG
rnacentral:rRNA from 1 species